rnacentral:rRNA from 1 species
UCGCCCGCCGCGCCCCGCGCCCGGCCCGCCGCCCCCGCCCCGCAUCGAUGAAGAACGCAGCGAAGUGCGAUAAGCAAUGCGAAUUGCAGAACCGCGAGUCAUCAGAUUUUUGAACGCAAGUGGCGACAGUUUAGGCUGUCAUGUUUGUUUCAGUGUGUCCGGUUAAUUACAUCAAAGAAUUUAAUGUGAUUGAAGAAAUUCUCUCACAAAAUACGGAACGAUGUCAAUGAAGACUCCAAACGAAAUAGUCACUAAAUGGUGAUAGUCGUUUGAGGAUUGGAAUUGGUGAAUCAUUGUUCUAAAAGAAAUUAUCCAAUUAUGACACCUGAAAUAAGCAAGAGUACCCGCUGAACUUAAGCAUAUCAAUAAGCGGAGGAAA